CCUACGGGCGGCUGCAGUGGGGAAUAUUGGACAAUGGGCGAAAGCCUGAUCCAGCCAUGCCGCGUGUGUGAAGAAGGCCUUCGGGUUGUAAAGCACUUUCAGUGGGGAAGAAAGCCUUGGGGCUAAUACCCUCGAGGAAGGACAUCACCCACAGAAGAAGCACCGGCUAACUCCGUGCCAGCAGCCGCGGUAAUACGGAGGGUGCGAGCGUUAAUCGGAAUUACUGGGCGUAAAGCGCGCGUAGGCGGUCUGAUAAGCCGGUUGUGAAAGCCCCGGGCUCAACCUGGGAACGGCAUCCGGAACUGGCAGGCUAGAGUGCAGGAGAGGAAGGUAGAAUUCCCGGUGUAGCGGUGAAAUGCGUAGAGAUCGGGAGGAAUACCAGUGGCGAGGCGGCCUUCUGGACUGACACUGACGCUGAGGUGCGAAAGCGUGGGUAGCAAACAGGAUUAGAUACCCCGGUAGUC
rnacentral:rRNA from 1 species